rnacentral:lncRNA from 1 species
UUUGACCCCAGGUUUCCCUUGAGGACUGCAGAGUUUGGUAACAGCCUGCACCCUUGUUUUUACCACCAAAGUACAAUCUCUGUCUCAGGAGCAGUUAGGUGCUCCCUUGAAAUGGUCAGGAGCCCCAGAAGGUCAUCUGUCACCUGUACAACUGUUUGUCAGCUGAGCAAGGACACACACGCCUCAGGACAGGAUGAGAGACCACCUGAGGAGCAGGUGGGCUUUGUAAAGGUAAAUAUUACAUAAGGAAGCAAAAGUGCUCUGAGGAAAGUUUAAGGAGACGCGAGUGGAUUAGGUCUCAAGUUUUUCCAAAACGAAAGUACUCAAGCUUUCUCCCCCAGAUUCAACAUCAUCUCUGGCAGCUGUCACCAAGAAAACUGCAGAGAGAAACAUGCAUCUUGCUUUUCAAAAAUUCCUAGAGGCCAAAGUGAUUUGAUCAAUUUAAAACCCAGUGGAGAUACACCACUCGCAGCGUGCCUGUGUCAACUGCGGAGGGAAUUACACAAGGUUUGGAUGCAUCAGCUACAGGAGACAGAGACUGCACUUCUUAUAAUCACGCUGCCACUGUUGGUUCUGGAGUAAUUGCCAUCUCUUAUUUCUCUUGUCCCUGCCCUCUUCCCUGGAAAGAUCACCUUCACUAAGCUCCCUUCAGGCCUGUGCUGUUUCCAAGGUUUCCGGCAUAGUGUGGAGGGACCAGUCUUCUCCUCCU